rnacentral:rRNA from 1 species
AGAAUCAACGCUGGCGGCGUGCCUAACACAUGCAAGUCGAACGAGAAAGUGGAGCAAUCCAUGAGUAAAGUGGCGCACGGGUGAGUAACACGUGACUAACCUACCUUUUAGUGGGGGAUAACCUAGGGAAAACCUGGGCUAAUACCGCAUAACACUUACGAGUCAAAGCAGCAAUGCGCUGGAAGAGGGGGUCGCGGCCGAUUAGCUAGUUGGCGGGGUAAUGGCCCACCAAGGCAGUGAUCGGUA